UACGGAGGGGGCUAGCGUUGUUCGGAAUUACUGGGCGUAAAGGGCGCGUAGGCGGUUCGGUAAGUUAGGCGUGAAAGGCCCGGGCUCAACCCGGGAACUGCGCUUAAGACUGCCGGGCUAUGAGUCCGGGAGAGGAUGGCGGAAUUCCCAGUGUAGAGGUGAAAUUCGUAGAUAUUGGGAAGAACACCAGUGGCGAAGGCGGCCAUCUGGCCCGGUACUGACGCUGAGGCGCGAAAGCGUGGGGAGCAAACAGG
rnacentral:rRNA from 1 species